GACGAACGUUGGCGGCGUGCUUAACACAUGCAAGUCGAACGGAAAGGCCCUGCUUUUGUGGGGUGCUCGAGUGGCGAACGGGUGAGUAACACGUGAGUAACCUGCCCUUGACUUUGGGAUAACUUCAGGAAACUGGGGCUAAUACCGGAUAGGAGCUCCUGCUGCAUGGUGGGGGUUGGAAAGUUUCGGCGGUUGGGGAUGGACUCGCGGCUUAUCAGCUUGUUGGUGGGGUAGUGGCUUACCAAGGCUUUGACGGGUAGCCGGCCUGAGAGGGUGACCGGCCACAUUGGGACUGAGAUACGGCCCAGACUCCUACGGGAGGCAGCAGUGGGGAAUAUUGCACAAUGGGCGGAAGCCUGAUGCAGCAACGCCGCGUGCGGGAUGACGGCCUUCGGGUUGUAAACCGCUUUCGCCUGUGACGAAGCGUGAGUGACGGUAAUGGGUAAAGAAGCACCGGCUAACUACGUGCCAGCAGCCGCGGUGAUACGUAGGGUGCGAGCGUUGUCCGGAUUUAUUGGGCGUAAAGGGCUCGUAGGUGGUUGAUCGCGUCGGAAGUGUAAUCUUGGGGCUUAACCCUGAGCGUGCUUUCGAUACGGGUUGACUUGAGGAAGGUAGGGGAGAAUGGAAUUCCUGGUGGAGCGGUGGAAUGCGCAGAUAUCAGGAGGAACACCAGUGGCGAAGGCGGUUCUCUGGGCCUUUCCUGACGCUGAGGAGCGAAAGCGUGGGGAGCGAACAGGCUUAGAUACCCUGGUAGUCCACGCUGUAAACGGUGGGUACUAGGUGUGGGGUCCAUUCCACGGGUUCCGUGCCGUAGCUAACGCUUUAAGUACCCCGCCUGGGGAGUACGGCCGCAAGGCUAAAACUCAAAGGAAUAGACGGGGCCCCGCACAAGCGGUGGAGCAUGCGGAUUAAUUCGAUGCAACGCGUAGAACCUUACCUGGGUUUGACAUGGAUCGGGAGUGCUCAGAGAUGGGUGUGCCUCUUUUGGGGUCGGUUCACAGGUGGUGCAUGGCUGUCGUCAGCUCGUGUCGUGAGAUGUUGGGUUAAGUCCCGCAACGAGCGCAACCCUUGUUCACUGUUGCCAGCACGUUAUGGUGGGGACUCAGUGGAGACCGCCGGGGUCAACUCGGAGGAAGGUGGGGAUGACGUCAAGUCAUCAUGCCCCUUAUGUCCAGGGCUUCACGCAUGCUACAAUGGCUGGUACUGAGAGUGGCGAGCCUGUGAGGGUGAGCGAAUCUCGGAAAGCCGGUCUCAGUUCGGAUUGGGGUCUGCAACUCGACCUCAUGAAGUCGGAGCCGCUAGUAAUCGCAGAUCAGCAACGCUGCGGUGAAUACGUUCCCGGG
rnacentral:rRNA from 1 species